CGGAGGGUGCAAGCGUUAUCCGGAUUUAUUGGGUUUAAAGGGUGCGUAGGCGGUAUUUUAAGUCAGUGGUGAAAUGUUGCAGCUUAACUGUAGAAUUGCCAUUGAAACUGAAGUACUUGAGUUAUCUUGAGGUAGGCGGAAUGUGUAGUGUAGCGGUGAAAUGCUUAGAUAUUACACAGAACACCGAUUGCGAAGGCAGCUUACUAAGGAUAAACUGACGCUCAGGCACGAAAGCGUGGGGAUCGAACAGGAUUAGAUACCCUGGUAGUCCACGCCGUAAACGAUGAUGACUCGCUGUUGGCGAUACACAGUCAGCGGCUUAGCGAAAGCGUUAAGUCAUCCACCUGGGGAGUACGCUCGCAAGAGUG
rnacentral:rRNA from 1 species